UCCUUACCCUAUUAUCGGUCUUCAUUAAGGUCAUGUUUACUAAACUGAUCAUUUUUCCAAAAUUCCAAGUAUCCUUAGAGCCUGGUACAGAUGCCUUCUUAUCACAGAAUUGUAAGCCCUAUAUCUUAAUAAUAAGGCUAACUAUAUAUUAAGCUAAGAGUAUAUCUUAAUAAUAAUAACUUAAUACCAAUCUCAAAUGACUUUAAUUACACCAUUAUAAUUGUUCAAAUCAUAUUGAAGUUGCCUCAAUACUUAUUAAUAACAAGACCAUGGCUGAAUAGCUUAAAAAACUAAUUUUUCAUGAUAAAUCAUUCUAAUAUUUCCUGCCAAUUAUACUUGUAUAAUCCGAUCUGUCAUAGUAUAUUCUGUGAUAUUUUUGUUUUUUAAAAAACUGUUUAUAAUAUAAAAAACAAUUGUAGUAAUCAAUGUAACAAAAAUUAUUUUAACCAUCAUUUUUACACUUCAAACCAUUUUAUGAAUUUUAUUAACUUUUUUACAACACCUUUUUGUGAACAACCACAACUUACUUAUACCCUGAUGAUGUAAACAAUUAAUUAAAGUUUACGAAAGCUUGGAUCAAGUAAA
rnacentral:lncRNA from 1 species